rnacentral:lncRNA from 7 species
AGAACGGAGAUAAUACCCGUUUAUGGCCCAGGGCUGCUUUGAAGCCUUUACAAACUACUCUGUGUUUGGAUGAAAGUUGUUGGGUUUUUUUUUUCCCCUUUUUUUUUCUUUGUAAAGCAGAUUUGAAACAAGAAGUGCAACUUUCAUUCAGGAGCUUGUAUGAAGUGAUCAGGACUGCAGAAUUCCUGCCCAGGAUGAAUGUGUCUGCGCACAUGUCUCAAGAUAAUGCCUGAACCUUCCGGGGACAACAGUAGACUUUGGGAUCAGGACACACCUUUUCCUUCAGCAGCAUUGUGGCUGCCUACCAGCUGAAACGGUAUGUCUGCAUCUGGAUGAGAUGGAGAGCAAUUUACAAAUUUCAUCCAUGUGAUGGAUGUGGAGGAGAAGCCAUAGAAGAUGACACCCAACCAGGAACAAGCUGCAGUUUUGUUGUGAAUAUCCAGGAAGUCUCUGUGGUGCAGAUGUGACAGCAACAGCAAAACGUAUUUCAACGUCCCAUCCCGUGAAGAGCUGGUCCCUCGCGUGUGCACGCUUCGUUUUCUCAGCAGAAAGAAAAAGAGAAAACAGAAGCUGAGGAGAUAUUCAAGAACUGUGGAGAUGUGGCACUGAGGGACAUGAUAUUAAUCAUUUCCAUCAGCUUAAGAUUCAUCAAGGAAGUGAAUGACGAGAUGCCUAAAUAAUGCACAACCUUGGAAGGUCUUGCCACGUGAUUUAUAGAAAUGCUGUAAUAGUGCACGUAUUAUGCUAAGCGUUAGGAAGCUCUGUCAAGCACCCACACUUAACAGGCUGUGUUUCUAUUCCUGUUUUCUUCUGCUCCGUGUAUUUUUCUUUGCUCCGGACAUCCUGGAUGGUAAAUGUACAGGCAUAAAAAAUAAUAAUAAUAAUAAUCUUAUGGUAAUUCUGUC